rnacentral:rRNA from 1 species
GUGUCAGCAGCCGCGGUAAUACAGAGGUCCCGAGCGUUGUUCGGAUUUACUGGGCGUAAAGGGUGCGUAGGCGGUUGGGAAAGUCUGAUGUGAAAUCCCCGGGCCCAACCCGGGAACGGCAUUAGAAACUUCCUGACUGGAGGGUUGGAGGGGGGACUGGAAUUCCCGGUGUAGCAGUGAAAUGCGUAGAUAUCGGGAGGAACGCCAGUGGCGAAGGCGAGUCCCUGGACAACACCUGACGCUGAGGCACGAAAGCUAGGGGAGCAAACAGGAUUAGAAACCCUAGUAGUCC